rnacentral:rRNA from 1 species
UACGGGGGGGGGCAAGCGUUGUUCGGAAUUACUGGGCGUAAAGGGCUCGUAGGCGGCCAACUAAGUCAGACGUGAAAUCCCUCGGCUUAACCGGGGGAACUGCGUCUGAUACUGGAUGGCUUGAAUCCGGGAGAGGGAUGCGGAAUUCCAGGUGUAGCGGUGAAAUGCGUAGAUAUCUGGAGGAACACCGGUGGCGAAGGCGCAUCCUGGACCGGCAUUGACGCUGAGGAGCGAAAGCCAGGGGAGCAAACGGG